rnacentral:rRNA from 1 species
GACGAACGCUGGCGGCGUGCUUAACACAUGCAAGUCGAACGGAAAGGCCCUGCUUUUGUGGGGUGCUCGAGUGGCGAACGGGUGAGUAACACGUGAGUAACCUGCCCUUGACUUUGGGAUAACUUCAGGAAACUGGGGCUAAUACCGGAUAGGAGCUCCUGCUGCAUGGUGGGGGUUGGAAAGUUUCGGCGGUUGGGGAUGGACUCGCGGCUUAUCAGCUUGUUGGUGGGGUAGUGGCUUACCGAGGCUUUGACAGGUAGCCGGCCUGAGAGGGUGACCGGCCACAUUGGGACUGAGAUACGGCCCAGACUCCUACGGGAGGCAGCAGUGGGGAAUAUUGCACAAUGGGCGGAAGCCUGAUGCAGCAACGCCGCGUGCGGGAUGACGGCCUUCGGGUUGUAAACCGCUUUCGCCUGUGACGAAGCGUGAGUGACGGUAAUGGGUAAAGAAGCACCGGAUAAAUACGG